rnacentral:misc_RNA from 1 species
GAAAUGCGAUACGCAAUGCGAAUUGCAGAAUUCCGCGAGUCAUCAGAUCUUUGAACGCAGCCCGCGCCGGGAGGAUAUCCUCCCAGCAUGUUUGUUUCAGUGUGUUUGGUUGCCCUCACACAGCGCAGUGCGAUUGAGUCCUUUCUAUAUUGAAGGGGUUCUCUCGUGAAAGAGGAGCGUGGAGGCCGCGCCCUUCCAGCGAAGUGGUCACUGUUCACCAGUGAUUUCGUUGGGCUAACAAGGGUCGGCCAAAAACAAAAUCACACGCAUUAUCUUAACCAAAUCUACAAUCGGCACCUGAAAUCAAGCAAGACCACCCGCUGAACUUAA